GCCCUGUGGGUACUUCAGUUGGUAGGGCAUGAAACUUGUAAUCUCAGAGUUAUGGGUUUGAGCCCCACAUUGGGCA